rnacentral:rRNA from 1 species
GGGUACUUGACUGCUUAUUGCACCACAUGUGUUUUUCUUUGAAACAAACUUGCUUUGGCGGUGGGCCCAGCCUGCCGCCAGAGGUCUAAACUUACAACCAAUUUUUUAUCAACUUGUCACACCAGAUUAUUACUAAUAGUCAAAACUUUCAACAACGGAUCUCUUGGUUCUCGCAUCGAUGAAGAACGCAGCGAAAUGCGAUACGUAAUAUGAAUUGCAGAUAUUCGUGAAUCAUCGAAUCUUUGAACGCACAUUGCGCCCUCUGGUAUUCCGGAGGGCAUGCCUGUUUGAGCGUCGUUUCUCCCUCAAACCGCUGGGUUUGGUGUUGAGCAAUACGACUUGGGUUUGCUUGAAAGACGGUAGUGGUAAGGCGGGAUCGCUUUGACAAUGGCUUAGGUCUAACCAAAAACAUUGCUUGCGGCGGCAACGUCUACCACGUAUAUCUUCAAACUUUGACCUCAAAUCAGGUAGGACUACCCGCUGAACUUAAGCAUAUCAAAAGCCGGGGAGGA